CAGACGGGUUCAAACAGCCCCGGGCCAGCCUCUGCGCCCCUGGUGGCCGCAGACCCGAGGCCCGACGGCGAAGGGGCGCAGCUCGGGGGACCCCGCUCCCGCCCCGCCGCCCCCUCCCGGCUCAGCGUCCCCCCAGCCGCACCGCCCCGGGUGCCCUCCUCGGCCGCUCCCGCAGCCCCUCCCGAGGCCGAGUUUCCCCCGCGGGGUGACUGAGACGAGAUUUGCUGGCGCGGUAAAAAGGGGGCCAGAGAAACGAGAAGUGGUCGUCAGGGCUGCGGGAGGCCGCGUAGAGCACGGCGGGGAGUUUUGCCUUCUGUGGAAACGGCCGAAGAACAGAAGUCCAGGGGGCGGCUGAGGAGAAACAUUCCGCAGAGAAGCGACUCCAAGGGCGUCGCGACGGCGGAGCGCGGGCGGCCGCUUCCGGGGCAAACGCGGGGUAAAGGGCGGCGCGGAGCGGAGGCCUCACGGGCCUAGGGCGGCGACCCCCGGAGGAGGGAGCGGGGCUCGGGGGCUCUGGGGCGAGCUCAGCACCCCCACAUCUGAGGGAGGAGCAGGCCUGGACGGGGGCCCCGUCUCGCCCUCGCCCUCCGCAGCCCGGAGCCGCGCAGUUGGCGGGUGUGGUCAUGGGGGAGACCCCCGACCCCACCUCUCAGCGCCCCGCCCUGCCCACCCCCUUCCUCUCCCCUCCCCCACGCCAAGCCCAGCGCUUCCGGGACCCCAGGACGGCUCAGUCCCGCGCGCACCGUCCUCCCGGCGGCGCCUCCAUGGUCCCGCCCCCGCCACGUCACAAACCCCUGCCGGGCUCCCGGGGCGACCCCGUGCCAGCCCCCAAGCUCUCGUGAGAUGUGGCCUCGGGAAGGAGAAACCGGGUGUGGUCGGACCCGCGACGCCGGCGGCGCUGACGGUGUUUCCCUCUCGCUGAACUCCGGGGACGCGCGGGGUCGGCGCCGCAUUCUUUCCCUUCAGCUCCUGAGCGACGGGAUCGCCCCGGUGAGGGGUGAUGGGACGAGAACUGCGUAAGGGCAAACCCCAGUUCCUCCAUUCCUGCGCGGAGUGACUUUCGGCUGCACCCGGGUGACUCUCCUGGGCCUCUGUUCACCGUUUAUAAAAUGGGGAUUUCACAGUGUCGGUUCCUGUGAGGGCAGAAUCGGAUCAUGCGCUCCGCUCGGGUCGGUCCCGGCUUCCGCUUGUGGAAACGGGACACUGAAACCAUAAGAGACCUGAGAAAUGAAGUCUUGCAAGACUCGAGGCCAGUCAGAGUUGAACCAGAGUGGGCAGAAGACGUCUUCAGCUGGAAGCUAGGAGCCUGAAGAGGGAGGUGUGAACAGAGAGGACUGUGAAAGCUUCCAGGAGCAGAGGAGGGACCUGGGUCCUGUGUGCUGUCAUCAUCGCUGUGGUCCUCUGUGAGGUGCCUCGAGCUGAAUUCCUUUCAAAGCAGAUUCAUCAGGAUGAGCAGCCAGGCCCCACCCGGGCUUCUGGAACCAGCCAGUCAGAGCCUGCUGAGGAUAAGGCCUUGGCCAUUACAGCACUGGAGAAGCUGCCUGCGGAGUUCUUCCUGAGACUGUUCAGGGCAGCCUUCACCGGGAGACACUGUGAGGCACUGAAGGCCAUGGUGCAGGCCUGGCCCUUUGUCUGCCUCCCACUGGGGGCCCUAGUGAGGGGACAGUGAAGCGACGGUGGCUUCACCAGGAGACCUUACAUACUGUGCUUGAUGGGAUCGAUGCCCAGAAGGUUCACCCAAGAUGAGGGUGAUCUAGGUCACCUAGUAGGGCCAGGGGAGUCAGAGCAAAAAACAGGUGGGGUCAGGGAGAAUCAGGGAGGGCCAGAGGCUGGGCCAGAGACUCUGAGGGUGCCAUGAGGAAGUUUGGGGAGGCCUGGAGCCAUCGCAAGGCUCACUUAGGGAAAGGGCUUCUGGAAAUGGAAGCAAAUUAAAAUGCAGGAGUCACAGAAGGAACAUGCAUUCCCCUUCUCCCAGGGGUACUUAAAGGUUUUCAAAGUGGGGAUGUGGAAGAAUCCCAGAGAGAAGCAGGAAGUGGAAGAGCUGCUGUCUGGUUGUCUUAGCCUAUAUCUUGACCCUAUUAGUCGUCUUCUGUGUUGAUCUCGAAGUGUCUUAGCCAAUCCCGUUUGUCUCACAGGAGAUGGAAACUAUACGUGCUGGAUUUAUGGAAGCGUGCUCAUCAGGACUUCUGGAAUGUUCGGUCUGGAUCUGCAACCUGUGCAUUCCCAUUGAUGGAGCCAGGGGCAGCCAAUCCCAUGACUAAGAGGUGGUCAAGCAGAGGAAAGAUUUACUACAACUGUGCUCAAGAUUUUUGCCAUACCAAUCCAAAAUUUUAGGAAAAUCUUGCAGAUGGUGCAGCUGGAGUCAAUCACCCUGGGAUGGUUUGCUCCUCACCUGGAUCAGAUGGUCAGCCUGCACAGGCUCCUCCUCUCCCACAUCCACGUUUCUUCUGCUAUUUCUCCAGCGAAGGACGAGCAGUACGUUGGCCAGUUCACCUCCAAGUUCUUCUGUCUGCAGCAUCUCUGGGUGCUACAUUUGGACUCUGUUUCCUUUCUGGAAGGUCUCUUGGACCAGGUGGUCAGGAGGAGUGGCAAGGCUUUUCUGCAGACCAAAGCCAGGCCACCUUCAUUUCCUUAAACAACAUUCUGUGUUGACUGUGUGCCGCCUGCCAGUGAUGUGAAGUUUAGGGGACAUGUUCUCCACAUGUCUUCAAUAUUGUGUAUAGAGUGGAAUAGCUGCUUCAAGGAUAGACACUGUUAGGAAACUCUAUGAUGGGGGAUUUUGGCCUAGUGAGGGCAGACUUGAGAAUUCGGCUUUAGGAAUUGAUGUCUAAGUUAAGAUGGAAAUAACUAAGAGAAGAGGGCAUUGGUGAAGGGGGGAAAGUCCAUCAAAUGAGAGGUGUCAAAAUAUAAGCUCUGCACUUACCAGCUCUGUAAACAUGAGCUGCCUCCUCCAGUCCUCCCUGUCUGUAACAGGGUUGCUUUGUGCUCCCAAUAAGUUAUUAAGUGGGAAAUACAUUAUUAUUCAGGUGUGGGUGAAGGUGCAAGAGCAGAAAAUUGUAAAACAUUAAUAGUCGCUAUGCCCAUGAAAAAGGGAUGUAGGUGGACCUCGCAGGCUAGCAAGCCCGGGUGAUUUGGCCAGAUCUUACCCAGGUUUCCCUUUUAUGGAUUAUGAUUAUGGUUAUGGAUACUGAUAGGUUUAGGCUUAAGGUUAGGUUUAGGGAUGUGAUAGGUAU